CUACGGGCCGCAUCAGUGAGGAAUAUUGCGCAAUGGGGGAAACCCUGACGCAGCGACGCCGCGUGGAUGAUGAAGGCCUUAGGGUCGUAAAAUCCUGUCAGGUGGGAAGAAGUGGAUAUAGAUUAAUACUCUAUUUCUUUGACGGUACCACCAAAGGAAGCACCGGCUAACUCCGUGCCAGCUGCCGCGGUAAUACGGAGGGUGCAAACGUUGUUCGGAAUUACUGGGCGUAAAGCGCGCGUAGGCGGUUUGUUAAGUCAGAUGUGACAGUCCAUGGCUCAACUAGGGAAGUGCAUUUGAAACUGGCAGACUUGAGUACUGGAGGGGGUGAUGGAAUUCCCGGUGUAGAGGUGAAAUUCGUAGAUAUCGGGAGGAAUACCGGUGGCGAAGGCGAUCACCUGGCCAGAUACUGACGCUGAGGUGCGAAAGCGUGGGGAGCAAACAGGAUUAGAUACCCCAGUAGUC
rnacentral:rRNA from 1 species